CGCCACUGACGCUGAGGCACGAAAGCGUGGGGAUAGAACAGGAUUAGAUACCCUGGUAUUCCACGCCGUAAACGAUGAUGGCUAACCGCCGGCGACACAUUGUCGGUGGCCAAGCGAAAGCGAUAAGCCAUCCACCUGGGGAGUACGACCGCAAGGUUGAAACUCAAAGGAAUUGACGGGGGCCCGCACAAGCGGAGGAACAUGUGGUUUAAUUCGAUGAUACGCGAGGAACCUUACCCGGGCUCGAACGGCAAAGGAAGGAUCAGGAGACUGUGACGCCCUUCGGGGCCUUUGUCGAGGUGCUGCAUGGUUGUCGUCAGCUCGUGCCGUGAGGUGUCGGCUCAAGUGCCAUAACGAGCGCAACCCUUGCCGUCAGUUGCCAUCAAGUAGUGUUGGGGACUCUGGCGGGACUGCCACCGCAAGGUGUGAGGAGGGGGGGGAUGACGUCAAAUCAGCACGGCCCUUACGUCCGGGGCGACACACGUGUUACAAUGGCGGCCACAGAGGGAAGCUACCCCGCGAGGGGAUGCGGAUCUCGAAAAGCCGUCCCAGUUCGGAUCGCAGUCUGCAACCCGACUGCGUGAAGUUGGAUUCGCUAGUA
rnacentral:rRNA from 1 species